rnacentral:rRNA from 1 species
AUGGAAGCACACGCUCCUGCACCAACCUCACCGACAAAGCUGCUGCCGCAAACUAUUGGGCUUAUCACUAGCCCGCUUGCGGCAUUUCUUUUGCUGGUCAUUAACAAAAUUUGGGACCCUAUAUUUGAUUUAUGUGGUUUCUUGUUUGACCCAAGCCGUCAUAUGGAUGACUAUGAGCACGCCGUGCAAAGGGUGGUGGCGAUGAAGUCAGAUUUCAUUCUUAGCGACCCAUCCUCAUCUUCUCAGCAGGCAGACAAAUGGCUGAAACGUGUGGACUUAUUACAUACGGAAAAGGAAAGGAUACGUGAGUGUUAUAACAAAGGUGGAUUUUUUAAAAGGUGGUACUAUGCCAGACAAGCACUCAAAGAGACUAAAAAGGCAGAUGACAUUGGAGGUCAAUUUAAAGAGAUACUUGUUGAGUUGAAACCAAGGCCGCGCCCUGUCUCUGGAUGGUUAUCGGACGACCCGUUGCUGAUCAUGAAGCCGUAUGCAGAAAAGAUAAUUGCCUUCAUCAAAAAUACAGAUGCAGAUUCUAAACUGUUGGGAAUAUGGGGAAUGCCCGGUGUUGGAAAAUCCAUGCUCUUAAGACAGAUUUCCAUGAGCCGCUCGCAGUAUGCAGGUGAUGAUAGCUCUUUUCAGGUUCUAUACAUUGAUGCUGGUUUGGACUGCACUAUAUCUAAAAUUCAAAAAUCACUUUUGGGCCUCAUGGGAUUGGCUUCAACGCCAGAUAUCACUGAGGGAGCACAAGCAUUUACUAUCGCUAACUACUUAUGUGGAAAGAGUUUCUUGCUUCUGAUAGAUGGUGUUCGAGAGCCUUUCAGUCUUGCAAGAAUUGGCAUCCCUGAUGAAGAAGUGGCCCCUGAUUCAGCAGUGGCCCCUGAUUCAGCAGUGGCCCCUGAUUCAGCAGUGGCCCCUCAUGUGCGCCGCAAAGUUAUCUUCACAGCACACACGCAUUUUAUAUGUGCUUCAAUGGGCAGUGACAGUAUCAUCCAGAUGAUGUGUCCAAGCGAGAAUGAUGCUCUGAAGAUUUUCAGUCGUGCGGUGGGUACCGAGGUUUUGGAGGAUGCAAGGGUCUCCGCGCUUGCUUCUGUGAUAAUAAAAGAGUGUGGCCGGCUGCCGGAGGCAUUAUGGAGUGUUGGACUAUCAAUGUCCAUCAAAGAGGAUCCUGAAGAGUGGGAGCUAGCUCUAAAGCUGCUGAGACAGGCAAAAUUACAUCUGGUUACUCAUAAAAAAGAUGACUUGUUAGACAGGCUACGGUGCAGUUACGACGACCUGGAAGAUAACAUCAAAGAGUGUCUCCUCCUCAUUUGUUCCUUGUGGAGUGAUGAUACGAACAUAUCCAUUGAUAGCAUCAUCUUAUGGUGGAGAGGCAUGGGUUUGCUGGAUGACUUCAAUGCUCAUAGAGAAGGUUUUGCCUACAUAAAGAUGUUGCAGCAACAUUGCUUGUUGGAAAAAGGGCAGAACACUCUAACUACAAGUGAAGAUACUCAUGUGAGAAUGAAUCCGAUGAUUCGUAAGGCAAUCAUAAAGACUUUGAAUGGGAGGGAAGCAAACUGGUAUCCAGAUUCGUCUUGGAGAACAUCAUUAACCGAGAAAACGUGGCCUGCAGCUCAGCGCGUUUGGGCCUCACCAAAAGACCUCGAGAUGUUAAAGAAAAAAUCUUACCUGGAUCCGAGGAACGAGAAGCUGCUUCAGUCUAACUUGCAGGUGUUGGUUAGUCGAUUUGCUAUAAAAUUCGAUCAUUGCAGAUUUGAUGAACUUGUAUUUCUCGACCUUGAGGGGGCUAACAUUCCCAAUUUACCUCAACGGGUAUUCUCGAUGAAAAAUCUGGAAUACCUCAAUGUGGCAUCUACUGGAAUAAGCUCAGUGCCUGUGAAUUUGAGAGAUCUUUCAAGACUAAAGUAUUUGACUCUACGAAGGAAUCCUAGUCUUGAAAAUAUACCGACAGGGGUGAUUGUCAGAAUGAAAGAACUGAAAUUGUUAGACCUGUUUGACACGGGGUGCUUUCUUAGCACAGCACUAAUAAAUGAGGUGAAAGAGGCAGAAAUUGACAACUUUCUCGCUGGAUUUACAGUGGGAAAUGAAAAUGUACUGAGUGAACUGAGAGAACUCCCCCAGGUCUGCCCACUAUACAUGUGUUUGUCUGGAUUUCAAGUGAAAAAGGUCGACCUCCUUCAUAUGCUUGCGGACUUUGAUAGACUGUAUGAACUGCAGAUCAAGAGCUCUAACAAGGUGCGAAGCAUAGUCUACACCGAUCUUGUGGUUCAAAACACGCCAAAGAUUUUCGCAUGCCUUCGGAAAUUUGAAAUAAACAACCUGCAAAACCUUGAAACAGUUGACUUGCAACCCGAAGGGCUUAGCAUCAAGUCGGUGACAGUUUGUGGCUGUAGCAAAUUAACAGACCUAACGUGGAUUAUAAGCCUGGUAAAUUUAGAAGAGCUUAUUGUCAAGGAUUGCUGUAGCAUAAGGACAUUAGUUUCUUCUAGAGAGACACAAGAAGUGGGUCUUCCAAAAUUGAAAAAGGUUGAGUUGCAUGAUCUGCCUGAAUUCCGUACCUUGUCAGAGGCAUCGCUAAGCCUUGAAAGCAUAACACACUAUUGUGUUUUUCAAUGCUGCAAACUAUCCGGUUUGCCUAAGCUGGACCCUGAGGAGAGAGUGUUAUUAGACUGCGAUGAAGACUUUUGGAAUAUAAUAUUGCAAGCUGGUAUGGCGACGCAGUACCCCCAAAGAGCACGGCAUUAG